CUUUGAGUAUAAGUAUGUCCCAUGCAAUCUUUGGGAUAUACUUGUUCUAAAA
rnacentral:pre_miRNA from 1 species